CUACAUAUUUCGAUUUGGCGGUUGAUCUCUCUAGCAAUGCAAAAAUCGUGCGGGCAGCGACCCCACUAAAAUCCUUUCAGGGUCUAUUAACCUUUUGCUCGUAUCCCUCCCAUCCAUAAACUUCUGAGCGGGUAGCAAACAGGCUGAUUAUGACUGUUAGCUAGAAUGAGAAAAAAAAUAGCGAGAGAUGUAAUUGUCGAGAGGACGAUUCAAUAACUCGGCUUAUCACGAAAAUUCAACUUCGUUGUUUUCUUGAUAUCCGGUGCCGAAGAUCGUGAAAAUGGGUUAAUCUGAGGAUUUGAAAGUCUCUUCUCGAUCACUUUGAACUGAUUAGUGGAAGAGGCAGCAGUGAUUCCGAAGUUGUCCUCGCGCCGUGGUUUGAAUAUUGAGAUCGUAGAUAGCCGUAAAGUAUAUUUCGUGCAGUGAGAAGGCGUGCAAACACUGCCGAACAAGAAAGGUUCGUGGCCUAAGCUGCAUGUGCCCGAUCACACCACAUCGGACAACGUCAUCGCUGACCCCACCAUCAGCUUCAGAGGUGUCCUGGGUACGCCCGGAAGAGGGUAUCGUACGCCAAAAGCGUGCCCUAGGCAGGGCGAGAACGAGCGACCGUUCACCGAGUUCAUUCGCUGCGAUUUUCCGCCUAGUUCCGUCGAGGAAAGGCACC